UUUAGUACUUUUAUACUUUCUAAUAAUAUGUUAAGAUAGGUUAGAAAUGUGAGCGUUGAUGUGUUGAAAAGAAUCUAGGAGUGUAGGACAAGAAUAAAUACCUUUUGUCCUGUAGAUACUUUCUAAGGUUAUGUAUGAGCCCAUUCAACUCGCAAAUGUCAGGUCUUUGAGACACUGGGACAAAAGCCUUGCAAGCAAAACUUUCACCAAAGUUUUUGUAUACUUCAUUUGCAAGGCCUGGCGUGGGGCGCAGCCGAGGAGGUGGCGUGGGGCGUGGGGCGUGUGUGGGAGCUGGGAGGAGGGCCUCCCGGCGUUAGCGAACACAUGCACACCAUCGAGUUGGGCUACCGAGUCGCGAUCGAGGAGUUCGACGCUGAAUCACUGAAGGUCGUCGACAUCGCCGUUCGUAGUCGCCACCGAGGUUGCCUUCGCUUCUCUGGUUGGCCGUACAGACAAGAUUCCCAGACGCAUCUACGUACACCAGGUCCCUAUGACCAUGCGACUCCAUGAAACGAACCGGAACAGCACGAGAAGAAGGAAAUGUAGCUACCGAUGCAUGCAAGAUUGAACCAGGGAUGUUUUCCGAUUGAACAGCACGUACAAAGGGAGCAUAUUCUUUACUCGGCGUGGCGUGUUGACACAGAUCAAUUCGUCAAUUUCAAGAUCGGAGCGGACAGGAUCUGUUUGUCGCCAGCAAAUUAGCCGACGCCAUCGAAGUCCAAGUCACCGGACCACAAGGAAGUUUCCUCCAACUUGCCGAGUGCCCGAGUCCCGUACGGAAGCGGUGAAGUUUAUUCCAUCCGCUGCUCACGCGGAUCAAUGCACAAGCAAUACGCGGACUGCAUGUUCUUUUAUUGGGCUUUACAGUGCCCCUAACAACUCCCGAUCAUGGGCUAUGCAGCAUGCAUCACCACACCAUCAAAAUAGCAAGCGCCUGUUUGUCGCCAGCAAAUUAGCCGCCGUCGUCGAAGUCGAAGUCACCGGACCACAAGGAAGGUCGCGUUUGGAUCCAGUGGCAAGCCUCGCCUCGCUUUGUCUGCACAGAAGACGGAGAUAGUAGAUGAGUUUGGGCCUUGUUUAGUUGAGGCCCGAAUCUAGCUUUGUACAGUGUUUGGGCUUCCUUUUGGGACUUUUGAACUAAACGACCUGCCCGAUUUCGGCCCAAACUUCGCAACCUUAUCCAGCGGCAGACGACCGGCCGCACUCCCAACCCUAGCACCGUCCGCAGUCACGCUCCCUCUCCCCCGCGCCGCUCGCCUCUCCCCCGCCGCUCUCCCCCUCCCCGCCGCUCUCCCCCCUCCCCCGCGCCGCUCGCCCUCUCCCCCGCCGGUGUCCUCUCCCCCGCCGUUCUCCCCCUCGCCCGCGCCGCUCGCCCUCUCCCCCCGCCGGUGUUCGCUCCACCGCCGCUAUCCCUCUCGCCCGCGCCGCUCUCAUCUCCCCCGCCAAUCUCCCCCUCCCCCGCAGAUCUCCCCCUCGCCCGCGCCGCUCGCCCUCUUCCUCGCCGGUGUACGCUCCCCCGCCGCUCUCCUCCUCGCCCGCACCGCUCGCCUCUCCCCUGCCGCGCUCGCCUCUCCCCCGCCUAGAUCUGUCCCCCUCGGCCGCUGUCCCACUCCCCCGCCAGGAUAUCGCCGCAUCCGCUCCAAUCGACCUUUCCACCACCAGAUCCAGGACGUACUCAGUCCGCUGCACCGCGUCCGGUACCGGGUGCACCGUUGUUGACCCAGGCGGCGGCGAUGGACCACUUCAACGAGGAAGGGGACGGCGCGGAGUUCAACGCCGGCGGAUCUAGACUCCCCGCGGGCUUCACCGCCAGCGGAUCCGGCAACCCCGCUCCCUUCAACGCCGGCGGAUACGGAGAUGGCUUUUCGGGUUUGGACUUCGGCAACGUCCCCGACUACGACGCCGGCCACCGCACUAGGAACUUGUUCUCCCUGGCGCCGCCGGGCUCAGGAAGCGGUGCGUACAACCCCUUCUCCUCUGUGCCGCAGAAGACCCUAUCGUCCACCUUGCCCACCCCAAGCCAGCUGGGCAUGGCCGGCCUCAACCUGAAUGCAACCUCCGGGUGGCUGAACAUGAACGACUACGAAGGCAUCCUUCGCUCCGGCGACCGAGUUGGAGGAGGCGGCAGCAGCCGAGUCGGCCCUCCCGGCGGAGAGGGUUCCGGCAGCGGUGUCCAGGCCACGGCUCCCUUGCCUCGUCAGCGGCGUCCUACGGCCAGGGCACGCGGUUCCCGGCGUCGUGGCGCGGCUCAAGCAGUGGAAGCCGAGAACAAUCCGGUACUUGUUCCCACUCCCCCUCCCCCCUCUUUACUUCCAUGAUCUGGAUAUGUGGUGGCGCGUACAGCCGUGCCUGGUGUGCAUGGAAUGUAUUGCUUACUCACGGUUACUGUCAAUAGGAGUUCUUGCAUUGCUUGUUCGAUCAUGAUUUAUCCCUGGUGUGCAUGAAAUGUAUUGCUUAGUCAUGGUUACUGUCAAUAGGAGUUCAUGCAUUGCUUGUUCAAUUACAUUUAUCCCUGGUGUGCAUCAAAUGUAUUGCUUAGUCAUGGUUCCUGUUUGUAGGAAUUCAUGCAUUGCUUGUUCAAUUACUUUUAUCCCUGGUGUGCAUCAAAUGUAUUGCUUAGUCAUGGUUACUGUCAAUAGGAGUUCAUGCAUUGCUUGUUCAAUUACAUUGUGCACAGAAUGAGCCAAGCAGGGCCAAGUGGACAAAAGAGGAUACACAGAUCUUUUGUGAGCUUUACUGCCAACAAAUUGAGUUGGGUAACUGCAAGAGUGGCAACAUGAGCAAGUGGGGCUGGAAAGAUGUUCAGGAGAAGUUCCUAGCGGCGACUGGCAAGUUCAGGAACAGUGAGCAGUUUGGUUACAAGUACAGGCAGUUGAAGUUGCUUUGGCAGUUCAUCCAAGAUUUGCGGACAAAGUGCACAGGCUUGGGGCACCGAGAAGAUGGCUCUGUGAUUGCUAGUGAUAACUGGUGGUAGAAAAAUUGCAGGGUUAGUGAUAUGUGAACACCUCAUAUGUACUCCUUUCCUUCCUGUCGUAGCUACUGAAUGUUUUUGUGUUGUUAUUUGCAAUGCAGGGGCACGCAGACUGGUAUGAUUUGAAGGAUGGAUGGCCAGAAUACAUUGACGAGCUGGACCGCAUGUUCUGUGGAGUAGCAGUGACUGGAGAUACGUCCUUUGUUCCAGGGGUCAGCCGGCAGAUCAACUUCAUCAGCAGCGGCGAAGAAGAUGUUGCUGAUGCGGACUGUGCCACCCCUCGCAGCUGUGCCACCCCAGUCAGCAGUGGGAGCAAGAGGAGCUCAAGCAGCAUCCGCAGCACUGCUACAAGCCCCAGCAAGAAGAACAAGGGCGGUGCUGUUCAGAACAUGAACAGCAACAUGACAAGGUUCAACUCCAGUUACGAUCACAGGACAUCAAUUAUCCAAAGGGCCUUGGAGGAUAAGAUGAAGGAGGGUGAGGAUGUGAUGGACAAGAAGCAGCAGCGAGAGGAGGCUAGGAAGCAAGAACAGAAACUUGUGACAGAUUCAACGACAGAGCUUGGAGUGCACCUGAUGGAAGGACAACUCUGGAAUGGUGUCGUCAAGAUCUGCAUGGAUGAUGACCUACGCAACAUCUUCCUGUGCACACCUGUUCAAGCAAGGCUGUCAAUGAUCAAGCAAUAUGCAUCAAUGGUGUAAACCAGACCCUAUGUCUUUUGUCUGUGCUUGGCAUGUCUUUUGUGUUACUGUCAUGUCUUGUUGUUGAAUUAAGUUGUGUUGGUAUUGUUUAUGUUGUGAGGAUGAACAUUUGAUGAACUGUGUUGGCUAAUCCUAUAUGAACAGCAUGGUUAUUAACAGCAUGGUUGUUCAUUAGAGCAGUUUGGUUAUUACUUGUUAAAGUUAUUGCCUCUGUCUUCAUAUGGGUAUUAUUUGACUGAAGGUAGCAGCAAUUACUACUGUGGCUACCAAUUGAUUUGUACUAACUUUUGCUGUGUUAUUUUGGAAUGCCCAGGAUGUUGCUGCUCAUUUUGGUGCCCAAGUGGAGGAGGAGGUCGAGGACUAGGAGGAGGAGGAGAAGUUGCUGGCCGAGUGGUGGGACCUAUUCUGGACAUUGGUGGUAGAAGACGAUGAUGAAGCACCAUUUAUCUAUGGUACGUAUGGAUAUGCUAUUCAUAUCGACAAGUAUUGCAAUAGAGGACCGUAUAGGAAUCCACCAUUGACUGGGGAGCAAUGGGUAGUUAACAAGCUUGCCAAUGAAACAUCUUGCUACACCAUGUUUAGGGUGACCCCACACAUGUUUUAUAGGCUGCAUGACUUGUUGACAUCUGAGUAUGGGCUGACUGCAUCAAAUAAAUCUAGCACUAUUGAGGCUCUAGGAUUGUUCCUUUGGAUAUGUGGGGCACCACAAUCUGUUAGGCAAGCAGAGGACAGAUUUGAGAGGUCACUAGCCACUGUGCAUAGCCUAUUCUACAAAGUCCUCAAUUGUCUGGUAGACCUAUCUGCCGACAUCAUUAAACCUAGGGACCCAGAGUUUAGAACAAUGCAUCCUAGGUUGCAAAACAAUAGGUUCUACCCUGAAUUCAAGGGUCGCAUAGGGGCAAUAGAUGGCACUCACAUUCCUGUAGUAGUGCCAAGUGCAAAGUUUAUGCAGCACAUGUGUAGGAAGGGCAAGACAACCCAGAAUGUCAUGGCCGCUUGUGACUUGGAUAUGGUUUUCACAUUUGUGCUUGCUGGGUGGCCAGGUUCAGUGCAUGACAUGAGGGUGUUUGACGAUGCAAUGACAACUUACAGCGACAAGUUCCCAAAGCCACCUAGAGGUACACACAACUGUUUCUAGGUCAGUAGUGUUUUCUAAUACAACCAUUGUAAACUUACAUGUAUCUACUGUUCCUAUAGAGAAAUACUACUUGGUGGACUCGGGGUAUGCAAACCGCACCGGCUUCCUAGCUCCUUACCGCCAGACCAAGUAUCACAUCCAAGACUUUCAAAACGCGCCAGAACCACAAGGUAUGAAGGAGAUAUUCAACUUUGCACAUUCAUCUCUUAGAAAUGUGAUCGAAAGGGCGUAUGGAGUGUUGAAAAUGAAGUGGCGCAUAUUGUUGGACAUCCCGGCCUAUCCACCAGAAACACAGACACGGAUUAUAUGUGCAUGCAUGGCGUUGCACAACUUCAUUAGGAUUAAUGGUGACUUUGAUAGUCACUUUGGUAUAGUGGAUAGCAACAUUAACUAUGUGCCUAUUGAAGGCACUCAGGAUCAGCCGGAAAUAGUGCCUGCACCGGAGAGUGCGGACAUGGCAAGCAUGAAUGCUUUCCGAGACAUGCUUGUUGAACAUUUGUUUGCUAGGUCUUGAAUAAUUUGUGUUUGAGGACAUAUAAUUGUUUAUGUACUUUGUGAUUCGGUGUAAUAAUUUUCGGUGUUGUUAAUCUGUAACAAUUUUAUGUGUUGUGAAUCUGUAAUAAUUUGCGGUGCACUUGAGAAUAUUUUCCUUGAAGUUUUGUUGUUGAAACAGCAAUGAAUUGUGUUGUCAUUUGGCCUGGUUCAGUGCAUUUUUUGGAGGACAACAUGCAUGGGCCAAUGCUGAAUUGUGUUAUAAUGGUGAAACAGUGCCUGGUAUAAUGAUUCAACAGUGUAAUGCAAAGUUUGGGGACAGCAGUUUGGACCUCCAGAAUUUGGCAUGAGGGCCAAAUUUCGGCUGCACAGUAACUCCCAAGUUGGGAGGUCCCAACUUGGACAACUAAACAAGGCCUUGGUUUGCUUGGCGUGUUGCCUAGGGGCCUGUGCAAGCAAGUUUUUGCUUGCUGAAGCAAGCCAGCCGGAACGGCUCUCCGGAGAGCCGUCGGCAAGGCAAGCCAUGCCCGGCAAAGCGAGGUUAGGCAAAGCUAUGUCCAAAACCAAAGGUGCCCGAAGUUUCCUUCAAAUUGCCGAGUACCGUAUGGAAGCGGUGAAGUCCAAUUAAUGUUAUUCCAUCCACUGCUCAUGGGGACCAAUGAAUAUCAAUUUGUUGGAUCUCGUCAAAAGCACAAGCAAGGUGUACGCGGACUAUAUGUUCUUUUCACUGCGCCAUAAACGAUUUGCAUUGGCGAGCGUGUUUGGCAUCCGCCAGCACAGUUUCAUCGGGCUGGUAGGGGAGCGACCGCCAGCACAAUAGCUACUGUGCUGGCGAGCUACAUAAGUACCUGCCAGCACAGAUAGAAUCAUUUGUAUUGGCGGACGCUUAUGAAGCCCGCCAGCACAUGUCGAUGGAUGCACCUGUCCGUCUCUCUGUCCCUGUGCAGCUGCAGUGGUGGAGGAACGAACAACUCGAUUGCAAGGAGUGUUCCGAAUCUGUGAGCAUUCUUAUCUCUUCGGCCGUAUCGAGGCAUAGGAUGACUUCUUGGGCCAUGUGCAUCUUCAAUUUGGCAUCCGAGAUGAGUGAUCUACUCCAGGAUUGUAGCGCUCGGGCCGUGGUGUGUAAUUUGUGCCCCAGUCUGUGAAAAGGCUCAGUAUGGGUUGUCGGCUUCGACCAUUCCCGGGUUACCACUUCGUAAAAUCCCGGUAGACGCGUCCAGAAGUUUUCAAAUUUGAAGGGCGUCAGUUUCCUAGGUCCAGAUUGCUAUGCCAGUAGCAGUGGGCAGUGGUCCGAGUGUGAGGAGGAGAGCGCGUGUAGAACAUGUUCGUUGAAAUUUAGAUCCCAGUUCUCGUUGCAGAAGACUCAGUCGAGUCGUGACAGCGUCGGUCGAUGCCUGGCAUUGCUCCAGGUGAACCUCCUAUUCUGUAAAUGUAUCUCUUUUAGACCACAGUAGUUUAGUGCAGUUCUAAAACUACUCAUCAGCCGCCAAUUUAGAUUGUUGUUGUUUUUAUCUCUUGCACUGUAUAUUAGGUUCAAAUCCCCUAGUACGAGCUAUUUAGUGUCAUCAUCCGGUCUCAUAGCUCGUAGGUGCCGCAGGAAGGCAGGCUUUGCGGAAUGACGUGAUGGGCCGUACACUGUCGUUAGUUGGAAGGGUGUGUUGCUAUAUUUUACUACCGUCGUUGCCAAAAUGGAGAAACGUCCCAUCUGGACAUCCUGUAUGUCAAAAACCCCGUCAUCCCAGAGGAUGAGAAUUCCUCCUUUUGUGCCUAAAGCCGGUCUGUAUGCGAAUUGAUUUAGUUGGUGUCCCCCCAAGAAAUUGGCUAAAGUUGCAUCGAUGUUUUGUAGUUUCGUUUCUUGUAGGCACACUAUGUGGCAUGUUGUUGUCGCAAUAGUUUCGCGGACCGUUAGACAUCUAGCUGGAGCGUUGAGACCUCUCACAUUCCAGCACAUUAUUUCAAAGUUGCCUAUCAUUUGGAUGUGGUUUGGUGUGCUUGCUUGUGCGUUGCGAGGCAUGUGGCAGAGUAGUACGUUGUUAUGAUGUGUGACGUGUAGAGCAUGGAUGUUGUUGAGGCCGUCGAGUGGCGGUCAUUGGCGCCGUUUGUCGUGGGAAUCAUCGAAUGCAACGUCCGAAGAUCAUGGCUAGCCGGGCAUAGUUUGUAGUUCGCGAGUUUUGUCCGAAGAUCGCAGCCAGCAGGGCUAGUGGAAAGUCCUCCAUGAAGGUCGCAGCCAGCAGGGUGAGGCACUGGAGAGGGGUGAGGCACUGAAAUGCAUAAAAGUAGCGAUACAUAAAGUAGUGGUAAAACGCAUGGGUGAUGUGCUUCAUCUUGAUUAUCAUGUAGCCGCGCACUGCUCGUGCUGGAGUUCUUCUACGGCGUCGCCCACCAUCUGCAGAAGCGCGUCAUUCAUCUGCUCUGUUGCGUCGUCGUCGAGGUCGAAGAGGGCAGUCAUGGCCGCUACGAUGAAGUCCGGUAGUGCCCCGUGGUACAUGCUGAUGAAGUCUUGUAGGACUUGUGUCAUUUCAUCGUCGUCGACGCCAAGCUUCCUCCAAAGGUUGCGCUGGGCUCGCUCUAUGGCCGGCAUGACCGGCUUCUUAGCCAGUCGCGCGCUCCGCCGCACCUUGUUCAUGUCGAAAGCGCGGCACGGGCGCGUGCGCCGCGUUGGAAGCUGUAGCACUGCCAGCGGUGGAGUCAGGAAGAGGUCAUCCACGCUUGGGGCAGGCACGGCAGGUGCAGGGUCCUGCUCGCUCUGCAGGCCAGUGCGUGCACUCCCCAGGUGAGCCUCGUCCAGCAACUGGGCUGUGGGCGCACUGCUAUUGUUGGCCGCGUGCAGCCCACCAUCUCGCACGUCGCAUGCGCCUCCGUCUAUGGCCGCACCUGCUGUAUCCAGCGACCUUGGUGCGCUCCCGUGCAGCAGCAGAGAAGGCGCGGCCCCUUCGUGGGCCACAUCUUGUAUCUGGGCCGUAGGCGCGCCCCCGCUUUGGCCCAGGAAGUUGGAAACCCCCUGGCACAGCAAGGCGCGCAUGCUCCCUUCGCGGGCCGCGCUCGUGGGCGUGCUCCCGCUGUGGGACGUGUCCGGGCCAGUGGGCGCGUCGCUGAUGUGGGCCGCCGCCUGGGCCAGCUUGGUGGAUUUUCCGGGUGCCAGAGCCUCGGGGCUGGCAGCUGCGUGGGCUGCCCCGUUGUCUUGUGCGUCGUCGUUGCAGACAAGGGCGCAUGAGCUUCUGUUGGCAUCCAGGAGGAGCUGGUGCAGCGCUUGGUCGACGUCGGCGACCGUCGGAGGUGGGGAUGCCGGCCUCAACAUCGCUCGCAGGGUGUCGAAGGCGCGCGGCACCGGCACUGGUUUGGACUAGGCUUGGUUUCCCCGUCGGCCCCAUCCACGCCCAGGAGGUCCGCAAGCCAGUUGGCCUUGUAGACGUAGUCAUAGGCGCCGACGAGGCUGCGGGUGCUCCUGGCAUCCAAAACUGCAGUGUUAGACGAAGACAUGUUGUAUACCUGGCUUUGCAUGUAAUAGGUCCUCAAGGCAUUAGCUUGUGCCACGAAGAGUGCUCGCAGCUGAUCAGGAGGCAUGCUGCUGAAGCCCUCUUCAUUUCCGUCGUGCUGUCUCCCGUGGUGUGGCGCAUAGCUCCUUUGUGGGGGGACCUGGUACGGUCCCGACGAAUCAGUUCCGUGCCGCCCCAGUACGCGUCUCCGUAUUUACGCCCGUGCCCCGGAUGCUCGUAGUCGUGGUCGCCGCCGUCGUCGUCGUCUCCCCGGCGUGGUGGCCAGAGGAAGCCCUUGUCCUUGCAGGUGGUCCUGUUGGGGGCAUUGGUUGCGGUCGUCCUUUGGGUCGCGACGCGUGUGUGGACCACGGCCACGCUCCCCGUCCCCCGCGUGAUCAGGGACGCGGGUAUAUCGCCGUGGGUGUCGCCAUUGCGCCGUUCGCGGCCCUGACCACCGUGCGCUCGGCGUCCUUCCCCGUCAUCCCGACCCUCUGGCUCCCGCGGCGGCCAAGGUAGGCAGGUUGGGAAGCGGGAGCGAGCGUCCGGCAGCGCGCCAUUGACGAGGCCAUAGCGCCACUCGUAUCUCCGGCGUACCGGGGUGAUACUCGCCGGGUUGUCGACCGCCUCGUGGAGGUUGCGCGCGGCCGCCGUGUAGUCCUCGAGCUGGGGCACGUGGAUGAAGACCUCAUAACGCGCGCCCUGUUGCCAAGACUCUGGCGGUGGCUCGGCCGACACGGAGAAGGCCGACGAUCUGUCUGUCAGCUUGUGCGUGAAGGCGAGCCACACCUUCUUGGGUAUCUCACUCGGGUCCGCCGUCCACGCCCACAGCUCAAUGUGCCUCGAGUCCGCCGGUUGGAUGAGGUUGGUGACUAUGCACUGAAGCGCGCAUUUGUGACUGACGACCCGCUCGACGAUCUCCAACGUCCAGGCGUGAGCCGGGAUCCCGUCGAGGCAGAGGCGCACCCUGUAGAAGAUGGGGAAGCUGAGGGCGUGCGUUAGGCUGCGCCAGGUAUGGAGACAAAUGUCGAUGCCGCCUCCGAAUGAAGCGUCCGUGGCGGCGUGCCUUUGCCGCGUCUGUGGCGUGCUCGAAGCGAAUAAGGUACGGCUCCGGCUAGUGGACUGUGACGGUGACCUUCCCAGGUUGCCAGCGGAGCUCUCGGGUGAUGAGGUCGGCGAUGUCCCGUACUCCGGCAUGUGGCGGCAGGUGGAGCGCCCACGGGAUGGGCGCAUGACUCCCAAUCUCUCGCAUCGUGGUCGAGAUGGAAGGAGUUGGAGACAAAGACUGUCUCUACCUCCGGCCUUGUGUGGGGGUCACCAAUUGCCAUGGCUGGUGCGCCGUUCUGGGGGGCUGCUGUCUGCUUGGCAGUGGUGGUGGCGGUGGCGGAGGAGGACGCUGGUGGUUGAGCUGCUGAGGCCGUGGACGCUGACGUGUUGGCGGGUAGGGGUGGCCGGCAGCAGGAGGUCGCAGUGAGGUGGAGAGGCGUGUGGCCCUGCAGUGACGCUGCCUAUGCCCCGAGCGGUGGCACCUGAAGCAGCGGACUGGGUCGCGGCACGCCGCGGCGUGGUGGUCCGAGGCGAGGCACUUGAAGCAGCGCCCGAUGGUCGCUUGGAUGAAGGCGCGUAGAGCCCCGGUUGUUGGCUGCGUUGAAGGCGCCCUGUAGCGCCGGUCGUUUUCGCGUCUGCGGCCGCCGUCUUGUCGAGGUUGCUCGGGCGGCGCACGGCGUGAAUGUUGUCUGCGACGCGUCACUGGUACCCAUGCUUGAGCGACGCCGCUUGGAGGUUCCUGGCGCCGGGUCCCGGCACGGUCCGUUGCCACAGGCACCCAUGCUUGAGCGGCGCUGCUUGCUGGUUCCCGACGUCGGGCCCCGUCACGGUCCGUUGCAGCUGCAGCAGGGGAGUGAAGGCACCACGGCCUUGUCUCGUCGCCGUAAAUGCAGCGCUCAAGGUAGGAGGCGUUAUGGCGCUGCGCGGUUGAGCCGUUGACUUUGCCCCGCCUGACUGCUUCCGCGUAGGAGAUCCGCAAGAUCGGCGUGGCAGGGGGAAGGUCCUUCAGCGCAGGUUGUAGAUCCGGUGUGGAAGCUCUCGCAUCUGGCGUUUCCGGUACAGCUUCUUCGUCCGAGAGCGUCGGACGGCCGCGCCGGGGCGGCGGUGGCGGGGAGUCGGAGAAGAAGCGCUCCGAUGAGGGGAGGGCAUGCGGCGUUUCAGGCUGGGGGUGCGGUGGCUGGGGCUGUUGCUGUCGGCGUUGGGUGCGCGGCGAGGGGUGCUAGGGGCCUGGCGGCGGCGGGAAGGAUGGUGGCGGGCGGGCGGCAUGGACUAGGAAGGACAAGCCGGACGAAAUGGUUUGGAUGAACCAGCCUUCAAGAAAACACUUGUUAUUGGAUCCGAAUAAUCCAAAGUUCAUUGGGCGGAAGUCGGAACCCGCUUUAGACUAGAUGUCCAUCAAUAAUAAUAUCCGAAAACACGUUGGAUCAUGUGGGGAUUAGCGUGGAGUCUGUCGAAGUGGAUUGAUGAAUGGGUUAAUUGGAUAUAUAUAUGUACCAUUGCAAAUAUUCAAGUUUGGAGACCUGCUAUUAUAAUUCGUCUAUCUAGAAAUAUGCCAUUACAAUUUGUGCUUUGAUUGAGAUGUGCUAUUUUUUACGUAUUUAAUGCUCUUGGACCCAGAUCCACAUGCAGGCUCUGGUAUUUUUGUAUGGACAAAAAUUGAACCCGCCCAAUCUCUACCCUCCUCGCAUUCGUUCUUCCUCAUCUUCCAUUCCUCCUCGCUCCUCCAAUGGAGGCUGCAGCUCCACCCAGCCUUGUGCGAGUUUGUCAUUGCCGAGCUCCGGACCAUCCUCGCGCGUCAGCCACUACCCCAUCCCCGUCCCCACGUCAACACCGCUGCGCGUGCUCCUAAACAGUCCCGCACACCGCGCUCCAUCCCGGCCCCAUCUGUGCGCCGCCGCAGGUGUGCUCCCACCCUGGCCCCGCUUGCACCGCCGCAGUCGCGCUCCCGCCCCGGCACUACUCGUGCGCCGCCGCAGCUGUGCUCCUGCCCUGGCCCCACUCGUGCGCCGCCAUGGCAACGCUCCCACCUAGCCCUGCCCGUGCGCCACCGCGGCCGUGCUCCCACGCCGACCUCACUCCCCCUGGCCUGGCUCGACCGCCACCGAGACUGCGCUCCACUUCGGCCUCGUUCAUCCGCUGCCGGUCAUGCUCUAGCUGUGCUUGCGCGCCCGCCAACACUGUGCUGCGCAGAAGGCUCAAGCCUAUCCCGACAGGUCGACAGCGUUGGCAGAGGAGCAUGAAGGAGAGAGGAAGGAUCUUGGACGACGGGAGGCGUCGGUGAUUGCUGGAAAGAAGCUAUAUGUGUAUAGAUGGCCAAAUGGGCGGCCCGACCCGGCCUGGCACGAGCACAGUUCGGCCCGGCACAUUUAGUCAUGCACAGUAGUUGUGCUAGGCAGUGCAAGCCCACAUAGGCCCACAUACCGAGGGAGCAGCUCAGGCACGGCCCGCUGCCUUUUCAGGCGGGUUGUACCGGCACGCUAGCCCGGUAGGCCUUAACGGGCUCGCCGUGCUCGUGCCAGCCCACGACCGACGGGGGGAGGCGGCGGAGCGCCGGAGCCGCGGAGGGUGCAAGGGUUCGGGGGCAGGGGAGGCGCGGAGGACGCCGACCACCACCUUCUCAACCGCGGUGACGACAAGGCGAUGAUGCCGGCACCCCAGGUUGCCUCGCCUGGCGCCAGACACCUACUGUGCGUGGGCGCCGCGGUCCGCACCGGGGUCCCCCGCGAGCGGGACUUCCCCAAGUCCACCUCCACGGGGGAGGCACGCCGCUCCUGGCGCCUCCGCGACCUCGCCUCCGGCGCUGACGGAUCUGCGAGGAGGAGGAGGCGAGGAGAUAGAGGCCAAAGGGAGGCGGUGGAGGGCCACGGGAGAAGUGGUGGGGGAGGCGGCGGAGGGUGCGGCGGUGGAGGGAAGUGGCGGGGGAGGCGGCGAAGGGCGCGAGGGAGGGCCGGGAGGCAGCGGAGGGUGGGAGGCGGUGGAGGGUGUGAGGGGCUGGCGCCCAGCGGUCGCGGGAAGCGGCGGGGGAGGCGGCGGCAGAAUGGAGGAGAACUGGAGAAGGUAGGGUUGAGGGUGGCCGGGUGGGGGGGUUUAUAUGCGGGUCGAGCGGACCUAAACAGGUCGGGGCGCCCGUUGAAAGUCCACGGGCCAAAUGGGCUAGACCGUGCCGGGCAGCACACGGGCUGAGGCAGCAGCUCAAGCCCAGCCCGUGGUGGGCCGGGCUGGCACGGGCAUGACGGCCGCCGUGCCGAGCCAUGCUUGGACCGGGCCAAAAAAUCGUGCCGUGGGCCAGCCCACGGGCCAUAUGGCUAACUAUAGCUAUGUGUUAUGGGGGCAUCUUUGUCCAUACGAAAAAUACCAUAGUCUGCAUGCGGGUCCAAGAGCAAAUACGUACAAUAUAGCACAUCUCAAACAAAUCACGAAUUGUAAUAGCAGUUCUCUAUAAACUUGGAUAUUUACAAUACGCUGUCUUAUAAGUUGUCUGGUAGAGCUAUAUAAUUUCUUAAUUUAUGCAUAUGAAAAAAGAAAUAUUAUGAAUUGCAUAGCAACAACAACUCGUACAAUAAUUGUUGAGUUGUCUCGUAAUCCUAAAAUUUAUCUCAUGAGGUGGUUGUUUCACGAAACAACGACCUCUUUCUCUCUCCUCGCUCUCUUUCCUCCACGUCAUCAAAAAUCCUACGUGGCACUACAUGAGAUGAUAUAUGAGACCGCUGACGUGUAGCAAUGUAUUUACCCUUAGAGCCCACAAAAUAGGCAGAGGACAAGGCAGAUAUAUGAGACCGCUGAUGUGUAGCAAUGUAUUUACCCUUAGAGUCCACAAAAUAGGCAGAGGACAAGGCAACUAUAUGCACGAGGCAAUAAUAAUGUACCAACAAAAAGGCCGCUUUGCUCGAGCUGCCCACCCUACGAGAUCGAUGUGACCUUUUUGUUUAUACUCCGUCUGUUGUCAAAGAUACAAAUAUCGAACUAAUAAUAAUGUAUCGUCAGAUUUAUGGAUUUACGUGCAUACCAUAUAUGCUGGGCCAAUGAUACUAUGGCCAAAUUUUUUGUUUUAUGCUUCUAUCAUUGGCUGCAACUCCAGCAGUAUUUCUUUGUGGGGUUGUGCAUUGCCCACACCUUUCCCUCUAGUCGCCGCCAUCGAGGCUCCCGCUCCCACUUUUGAUUUCAUCUUCGGCUACGAGAGGUAGUGACAGUGUGAGAGGAUGGCGGACCCAGCAUACAGUGAGUGAGGGCACAGGCCGACGCCUCAAAUUCAAGAACCGAGUAGUAUAUUUAAGCACUAUUUUACUGUACCCAGCACUCUAGGCCGCCGCUCAAUUUUGUGCUAGGUCCGUCAGAGAUGAGCACCAUCCAUUAGGUGUUGCACGAAUAAAAUUUUACCAAAUUUUCUGCUGUAACAUUUUUCCAAAUACGGUAGUACAUUUACAUUUUCUAAAAGCAGGCUAAUAGAUACACAAUUUACUAUGUCACGAGGACACAACAAUCUAUGAAGAUGCGUGCUAGGAUUGCGCUAACGCAAUCUGUUUAUGUUAAUUGGUAGAGAAGUUCUACAAUAUAAGUGCAAUUUAAUCAUCAUCCUAGCUAUACAGGUAGCUUAUAUGAACAGGUAGCUUAUAUGAAUGACGGGGCGUCCUGGAUGAUGCUCGUCGAAGAAGGCCCUUAUUGCAGCCUCUAUCAUUGGUACAUCUGACUUUUCACUUGUAUUCCAAGAGUAGCUCAAACCGAUGCCUACUCUUUUCAGAUUCGUCAGAUGCUCGACGCCGGCAAGCCUGAUGCCACACGUCUUCACUUCACACACACCCAAAUGAAACCUGAGGGUCUCAAGCUUGGGUACUGCUCCAGCUUGGAAGUGGAAGGAGUGGCACCGCUGAAUAAGUGGUUGACGAGUUUCGAAGUAAUCAAGAGAUCUGAACGCCGCACUGCUGCUGAAGACAAUCCCUUCAUCAGGGACAUCACGCACAAAUAGCUCAAGAUGGGCAAGGGCAGGUAACCCUGCAAGAACAGAAAUAUCAUCCUUGCACAGCUUGUCAACAUGGAUUUCCAGGCUGCUGAGCGUGCUAAGCUGACCAACCCACAUAGGUAACCUUGGAAUCUGGAAUAGCAGGUGGAGUUGCUCGAGACGACAGUCAGACAAGCACAAUGAGUUCCACCCAUCAUAGUAGCCUGUAAGGGUUUCUUCUAAUGCGAAAACAGUGAAAUGCCUCAGAUUGCCAUUGAGUAACUUCUGGAUGGAAUAAAACAGAGCAUCCUUAUGUGUUUCCAUAGUGGGGAACCUACGAUCAGUGAUAAACAUGUACAGCUCCCUUAGAUUCAGCAAUUCCCCGAUAGCCCUUAAAUUAUCGACCGACUGCUUGCUUGGAUUGAUCCAGUUCAGAGUACGAAGAGAUUUCAUCUUGCUAAUCCCAUCAGGAUAAGAUAUGCACUUAAAAACCUCCAAAUAUGACAAAGCAGGCAAAUGGACAAUAUCAUGAGGAAGUUGGGACACCCGCCCAUGUAUAACCAAUGUCUCCAAAUGAUGUAGCCCACAAAUUUGUUUAGGCAGUUCAAUGCUCGAUCCACUAACAUUUAAGUACCUCAGUUGAAACAGUUUCCCAAUUGGAGUGAGGUCCAAACCAUCAACCUUACAAACAAACAGAACUCGGAUAAACUUCAGCUCCAACAGUUCAAUGCUAUGAUCAUGCCACCCAAAACUACACAGUGAUCGAACAUGUGUCAGACUCAUGCGAGGUGCGAUUUUAUCAAGUUCUGCCUCACCAAGCUGCAGAGAGAGCCGGCGAAUCUGGCAAUGCUGUCUUCUGGUGAUUGUCUCUAUGUUUUCUACCAUGCACAGAAAAUUCUCUUCUGCAGACUUGGACACAAUUAGAUCCAGAACCAUAUCAUGAACUUUAUAAUAGUUACGCUCCAUGUUCCAAAGCGCACGAUCUUCCACAAGCUGGAUGAUCAUACUCCUAUUCACCAAUUCAUUGAAAUAGCUCCCCGCAAUUUCCAAUGCAUCUCUCCCAUCUAUUCCACAGAUAAAUCCUUCAGCUACCCAUUGCAUAACUAAGUGAUCCUUUUCAAUAUCAUGAUCCUCCGGAUACAUACCAAUAUAUAAUAAGCAUGUCUUCAGAUGAUGAGGAAGAUGAGUGUAACUAAGGUUUAGUAUCUGUCUCAUCCCUUCUAAAGUUGGAUUUGACCUCAGAUCGGAACGUAAAGAAUUAAGGACACAGUUCCAUUGGCUCACUGAUCUGUUCGAUUGACUAGCUAAAAGGCUAGCUAUACUGAUGAUUGCUAGUGGCAGUCCACCACAUUUUUGUAGAAUUUUUUCAGAUGGUUCUUCAAAUGGAUGAGGACGUGUGUUUUCCAACCCAAAAACUCUACCAUAAAACAACUGCCUGGAACUAUGAUCAUCAAGAGCUUUCAUCCUGUAAACAAAUUCCCACUGAAAAUUGCAACAUGUCACUGCCACCCUUUCAAUUCGUGUAGUUGUCAACACUUUGCUACCAUAGUGACCCUCGGGGAAAGCACAUUUUAUAAUUUCCCAUGCUGAUGCAUCCCAUAAAUCAUCAACUACAACCAAAUACCUGCCAAUAUGCGUGUCCAAAUACACAUAUUAAUAUGAUACCGCAAGUAAAAGGUUUCUUUUUAUAAACAACUUGCACUGCUUUCAACUAAAAUAAAUCUGUAGAACUUUAACAUAAAAAAUAACAUCCUAUGUAACUUGUUAGCUAAACCAUCUGAAUUAGCCUGCCAAAAUUCCGAUUCAUAGUAAAGAUAGUAACAUCACCCAUAUGAGCCCUAGAAAUGUACCGGAGAUUGUCUCAAUAAAUAGAUGAACCUUAAGGAAAUGUAUUGUAUUGGAUGAGCAAAGCAAAGUAAGUAAAAUAAAUUUGACCCUACACUAUUUUAAUUUUGAAAUUCUGAUUUUAUUGUGCAUAUUUAAAUUUCAAAGAAAUUGAAAUUCAAUCUAGUUAAAAACGCGGAAGUUACAAAUCCUGCAGCUUAAAAUGGUGCAUAGAAAAGAGUAGAGUGUUGGUGAGAGGUACAGUUGAACUUCAAUUCAUAGUGCCAUUUAUGUAAAGGCCACAAAAAAGGAACAGGAAACACAAAUCAAUGCCAGAUAAUCUAGUGAAAUAAGACCAAAAGAGAGCCACCUCCCACUAUAGACAGGGAAGCAAGCUAUGUGUCAUUAGAAUUGUGCUCUGUUGUCAUCACGCUUUGUUCAUUCUUUUAGUACUUUUCUAGUUUCUAUUAAUAUGUUAAGAUAGGUUAGAAAUGUGACUGUUGAUGUGUUGAAAAGAAUCUAGGAGUGUAGGACAAGAAUAAAUACCUUUUGUCCUGUAGAUACUUUCUAAGGUUAUCUAUGAGCCCAUUCAACUCGCAAGUAUCAGUCCCUGGCCCCAAAAUCUGUGUGACCAAACUCUUGAGAAGCACCACCAUGUCAGGUCUUUGAGACACUGAUACAAAAGCCUUGCAAGCAAAACUUU
rnacentral:lncRNA from 1 species